AAGGGUCAGCCUGUGCUUUCUCAGCUUACAACUCUCCAAGUGGACAGUUACAGAAGCUUAGCCUCAGAGCAGGGCCAGCUCUUCUUAGCAGUGCCCUGUGAGGCCAACAACAUCAUUCUACACCCAGAAAAUCUGCCAGAGUGCAGUGGCGCUAUCUCGGCUCACUGUAAGCGCUACCUCCUGGGUUCACGCCAUUCUCCUGCCACAGUCCUUGUUAACGUGACUCUCUACAAGCAAAGCUUCCUGCCAAGUAACAAUGCUUUCCAUUUGUUUGGAGCUUUAUAAUUUAGUUGUUUUCUCCAUUUUGAGCUAUCUGAUUUCAUCCUCCCAUCAGCCCUCCUGAACAGAGAAGGCAGCCAAUGUUUUCUUCUUUAAUAAAUGAAGAAACUGAGGUACAAAGCAUUUGAGAUACUUGUCUGAGGGAACUUCAUAAAUGGGUCGAAACCAAAAGCUACCCUUAGGAAAGUUAUAUCUUUUUCCUUCA
rnacentral:lncRNA from 10 species